AUCCAUCUGACAAGUCCCAAACAGGGCGAAACGUGCGUUCUGAAU
rnacentral:hammerhead_ribozyme from 1 species